rnacentral:rRNA from 1 species
GAUGAACGCUGGCGGCGUGCCUAAUACAUGCAAGUCGAGCGAACGGACGAGAAGCUUGCUUCUCUGAUGUUAGCGGCGGACGGGUGAGUAACACGUGGAUAACCUACCUAUAAGACUGGGAUAACUUCGGGAAACCGGAGCUAAUACCGGAUGAUAUUUUGAACCGCAUGGUUCAAAAGUGAAAGACGGUCUUGCUGUCACUUAUAGAUGGAUCCGCGCUGCAUUAGCUAGUUGGUAAGGUAACGGCUUACCAAGGCAACGAUGCAUAGCCGACCUGAGAGGGUGAUCGACCACACUGGAACUGAGACACGGUCCAGACUCCUACGGGAGGCAGCAGUAGGGAAUCUUCCGCAAUGGGCGAAAGCCUGACGGUGCAACGCCGCGUGAGUGAUGAAGGUCUUCGGAUCGUAAAACUCUUUUAUUAGGGAAGAACAUAUGUGUAAGUAACUGUGCACAUCUUGACGGUACCUAAUCAGAAAGCCACGGCUAACUACGUG